AUUGAACGCUGGCGGCAUGCCUUACACAUGUAAGUCGAACGGUAACGGGCCUUCGGGUGCCGACGAGUGGCGCACGGGUGAGUAAUACAUCGGAACGUGCCCGAUCGUGGGGGAUAACGAGGCGAAAGCUUUGCUAAUACCGCAUACGAUCUACGGAUGAAAGCAGGGGACCGCAAGGCCUUGCGCGGACGGAGCGGCCGAUGGCAGAUUAGGUAGUUGGUGGGAUAAAAGCUUACCAAGCCGACGAUCUGUAGCUGGUCUGAGAGGAUGAUCAGCCACACUGGGACUGAGACACGGCCCAGACUCCUACGGGAGGCAGCAGUGGGGAAUUUUGGACAAUGGGCGCAAGCCUGAUCCAGCCAUGCCGCGUGCAGGAUGAAGGCCUUCGGGUUGUAAACUGCUUUUGUACGGAACGAAAAGCCUUCUUUUAAUACAGGAGGGUCAUGACGGUACCGUAAGAAUAAGCACCGGCUAACUACGUG
rnacentral:rRNA from 1 species